UACGUAGGGCGCAAGCGUUGUCCGGAAUUAUUGGGCGUAAAGAGCUCGUAGGCGGUUUGUCGCGUCUGCUGUGAAAACCUAAGGCUCAACCUUGGGCUUGCAGUGGGUACGGGCAGACUAGAGUGCGGUAGGGGUGACUGGAAUUCCUGGUGUAGCGGUGGAAUGCGCGGAUAUCAGGAGGAACACCGAUGGCGAAGGCAGGUCACUGGGCCGCAACUGACGCUGAGGAGCGAAAGCAUGGGGAGCGAACAGG
rnacentral:rRNA from 1 species